GGGAACAUACCCUUUCCUGCGGAAUAGCUCCGGGAAACUGGAAUUAAUACCGCAUACGCCCUACGGGGGAAAGAUUUAUCGGGGAAGGAUUGGCCCGCGUUGGAUUAGCUAGUUGGUGGGGUAAAGGCCUACCAAGGCGACGAUCCAUAGCUGGUCUGAGAGGAUGAUCAGCCACAUUGGGACUGAGACACGGCCCAAACUCCUACGGGAGGCAGCAGUGGGGAAUAUUGGACAAUGGGCGCAAGCCUGAUCCAGCCAUGCCGCGUGAGUGAUGAAGGCCUUAGGGUUGUAAAGCUCUUUCACCGGAGAAGAUAAUGACGGUAUCCGGAGAAGAAGCCCCGGCUAACUUCGUGCCAGCAGCCGCGGUAAUACGAAGGGGGCUAGCGUUGUUCGGAAUUACUGGGCGUAAAGCGCACGUAGGCGGAUAUUUAAGUCAGGGGUGAAAUCCCAGAGCUCAACUCUGGAACUGCCUUUGAUACUGGGUAUCUUGAGCAUGGAAGAGGUAAGUGGAAUUCCGAGU
rnacentral:rRNA from 1 species